rnacentral:rRNA from 1 species
UGGUACCUACGGGACGCAGCAGUGAGGAAUAUUGGUCAAUGGGCUUACGCCUGAACCAGCCACGUCGCGUGAGGGAAGACUGCCCUAUGGGUUGUAAACCUCUUUUGUCAGGGAGCAACGCCGGCUACGUGUAGCCGGACUGAGAGUACCUGAAGAAAAAGCAUCGGCUAACUCCGUGCCAGCAGCCGCGGUAAUACGGAGGAUGCGAGCGUUAUCCGGAUUUAUUGGGUUUAAAGGGUGCGUAGGCGGACGGUCAAGUCAGCGGUAAAAAUGCGGUGCUCAACGCCGUACAGCCGUUGAAACUG